rnacentral:lncRNA from 1 species
GUUGUAUUUGGAUAUGUAGAAGACAUCAGUGUGGCAUAAGGGAAAACAGUAUAGGCUUGGAAUCUGUAUUUACAGCAAGACCAACCUUGGUUGAUGAAUAAAGAAAAUAUUUGGAAGAGGCAACAAUAAAAAUGAAAGCCUAGAUAAAGACUGAAACCUGAAACUCCAUAGUGGACAGAAGAGCAAUGAUGAUGGAAGCAGCACUUGCGCAACAUGUGUUUUGGGAUCUCUGAAGAUGGUCAGAAGAUGUUUUUCAUGCAAACGGCAUCAUCUUAGCAAGUCUACAGAAGCAGCC